rnacentral:rRNA from 1 species
CUGAUGCAGCAACGCCGCGUGAGGGACGACGGCCUUCGGGUUGUAAACCUCUUUUAGCAGGGAAGAAGCGAAAGUGACGGUACCUGCAGAAAAAGCACCGGCUAACUACGUGCCAGCAGCCGCGGUAAUACGUAGGGUGCAAGCGUUGUCCGGAAUUAUUGGGCGUAAAGAGCUCGUAGGCGGUUUGUCGCGUCUGCUGUGAAAACGCGAGGCUCAACCUCGCGCCUGCAGUGGGUACGGGCAGACUAGAGUGCGGUAGGGGAGAUUGGAAUUCCUGGUGUAGCGGUGGAAUGCGCAGAUAUCAGGAGGAACACCGAUGGCGAAGGCAGAUCUCUGGGCCGUAACUGACGCUGAGGAGCGAAAGCGUGGGGAGCGAACAGGAUUAGAUACCCUGGUAGUCCACGCCGUAAACGUUGGGAACUAGAUGUGGGGACCAUUCCACGGUCUCCGUGUCGCAGCUAACGCAUUAAGUUCCCCGCCUGGGGAGUACGGCCGCAAGGCUAAAACUCAAAGGAAUUGACGGGGGCCCGCACAAGCGGCGGAGCAUGCGGAUUAAUUCGAUGCAACGCGAAGAACCUUACCAAGGCUUGACAUAUACCGGAAACGUCUGGAAACAGUCGCCCCGCAAGGUC